CUAAAAAACCCAUUCUUGAUACAUUUUAAGACCUCAAAUCAGGUGGGACUACCCGCUGAACUUAAGCAUAUC
rnacentral:rRNA from 1 species